rnacentral:rRNA from 1 species
UACGAAGGGGGCUAGCGUUGCUCGGCAUUACUGGGCGUAAGGGGCGCGUAGGCGGCACUGUUAGUCAGGCGUGAAAGUCCUGGGCUCAACCUGGGAACUGCGCUUGAUACGGCAGAGCUAGAGGGUGGAAGAGGGUCGCGGAAUUCCCAGUGUAGAGGUGAAAUUCGUAGAUAUUGGGAAGAACACCGGUGGCGAAGGCGGCGACCUGGUCCAUUACUGACGCUGAGGCGCGACAGCGUGGGGAGCAAACAGG